ensembl:lncRNA
GCUCAUUUUUAUUUUAAGUGAAGUGUUAUCUAACGGUAUUAUAUUUGUCAAAAUAGAAAAUUAACCAACAAAAAGAAAAAUUAAAAAUGGGGUCAUCCAUGGACUGAUGAUGAAAUUAAAUCACCAUCUAGUAUAAUAAUUAAUCCAAUUAUGUGCAGCUGAGUAAAAAAUAUUUAAAAGUAUAAUAUAGCAAACUGUCAGUGAGGAUGAACAAUGAUUUAACAAGUACAAAAUGAAAGAAAGACUACCAGUGUCAACUCUUUCCUAUUUCUUGAACACAGUAUAGGACAGCAACAAAUGGUAUGCAAAUUUAGCCCUGACUCAGAGACUGAAGCUGUCUGGUGGCUGAUAGCUUCUUAUCACUUGCUAACUGACUGUGCCUGCCUAGUGGGUCGAGUUUCUGUUCAAAUUGAGCCUGCAGAGAGAAAACAAUCAAAGAGGAGAGAGAAAACUAAAGGAGACGCUGGAGGCAGAGAGUCUCAGGCCUUCAGCAGCCCUAUGAUGACCUUGAGAGAACAGAGGCAGAUGCAAGGAAGGUUCUUUACCAACUGAGCUACCAGGGAAGCCUUCAGUCCUUGUAAGGACAAAUACAAAUUAAAAAGAAAGUACUGCAAGAAACUAGUACCCUUAACUUCAAAUUUCAGUGGGAGAAUAACUGGUUUCCAGAGUAAUGACCAUCUUCUGCUGCUGCUGCUGCUAAGUCGCUUCAGUUGCAUCCGACUCUGUGUGACCUCAGAGACGGCAGCCCACCAGGCUCCCCCAUCCCUGGGAUUCUCCAGGCAAGAACACUGCA